AGCGGCGGACGGGUGAGUAACGCGUGGGUAACCUGCCUUACACAGGGGGAUAACAGUUAGAAAUGACUGCUAAUACCGCAUAAGACCCCGGUACCGCAUGGUACAGAGGUAAAAACUGAGGUGGUGUAAGAUGGACCCGCGUCUGAUUAGGUAGUUGGUGAGGUAACGGCUCACCAAGCCGACGAUCAGUAGCCGGCCUGAGAGGGUGGACGGCCACAUUCGGGACUGAGACACGGCCCAGACUCCUACGGGAGGCAGCAG
rnacentral:rRNA from 1 species